rnacentral:misc_RNA from 1 species
GUUGGCUUAUAAACUUCUUGCAACUGUCGAGAGCUUUUGUAGUAAGUUUAAGGUCAUCCUCCAGAAGGCGGCGAACUCCAGCCAUAGUAACUUUCUCGGAAUUAGCUUUAAGAUAAGAAGUUCUUUUUCUAAUAGCUUCCGUAAUUGUACUCUCACUAGGAAUAUCUUUGUCAUCUUUGUCUUUGGUUCCUUUGAUUCCAUCAGAUUCAACAUUUUUUGUUUUACGUCCUGUGAGAAGGCCCAUAACUGGAGAGUCUUCCAUGUUCUCAUAUUCCACGCAAGGUUCGUUUACAUCCUUCUCGGACUGAUGCCCUU